UACCAGCACCCCGAGUGGUCGGGACGAUUAUUGGGCCUAAAGCAUCCGUAGCCGGCCUUACAAGUCCUCCGUUAAAUCCAGCUGCUUAACAGAUGGGCUGCGGAGGAUACUAUAAGACUAGGAGGCAGGAGAGGCAAGCGGUACUCAGUGGGUAGGGGUAAAAUCCGUUGAUCCAUUGAAGACCACCAGUGGCGAAGGCGGCUUGCCAGAAUGCGCUCGACGGUGAGGGAUGAAAGCUGGGGGAGCAAACCAGG
rnacentral:rRNA from 1 species